AGGUUAAGUUAACAAGGGCGCAUGGUGAAUGCCUUGGCACUAGGAGCCGAUGAAGGACGGGACUAACACCGAUAUGCUUCGGGGAGCUGUACGUAAGCUAUGAUCCGGAGAUUUCCGAAUGGGGCAACCCAGCAGUUUUAAUCAACUGUUACCACUAGAUGAAUUCAUAGUCUAGUUGGAGGUAAACGCUGUGAACUGAAACAUCUCAUUAGCAGCAGGAAUAUAAAGAAAUUUCGAUUCCCUAAGUAGCGGCGAGCGAACGGGGAACAGCCCAAACCAAAGUGCUUGCACUUUGGGGUUGUAGGACUGAACAUUUGAGUUACCAAAGAACUUGAUAGUCGAAGGAUUUGGGAAAAUCCGCCAUAGAUGGUGAUAGCCCAGUAGAUUAAAUCAAAUUCUCUCAGUUCAGGAUCCUGAGUACGGCGGAACACGUGAAAUUCCGUCGGAAUCCGGGAGGACCAUCUCCCAAGGCUAAAUACUACCUAGUGACCGAUAGUGAACCAGUACCGUGAGGGAAAGGUGAAAAGCACCCCGGGAGGGGAGUGAAAUAGUUCCUGAAACCAUGUGCCUACAAUAAGUCAGAGCGCGUUAAUGCGUGAUGGCGUGCCUUUUGUAGAAUGAACCGGCGAGUUAUGAUCCCGUGCAAGGUUAAGACUAAAAAGUCGGAGCCGUAGCGAAAGCGAGUCUGAAAUGGGCGUUUUGAGUACGAGGUUAUAGACCCGAAACCAGGUGACCUAUCCAUGUCCAGGUUGAAGGUGCGGUAAAACGCACUGGAGGACCGAACCCGUGUAAGUUGAAAAUUGCUGGGAUGAGGUGUGGAUAGCGGUGAAAUUCCAAACGAACUUGGAGAUAGCUGGUUCUCUCCGAAAUAGCUUUAGGGCUAGCCUCGGAAUUAGGAUCAUGGAGGUAGAGCACUAUUUGGACUAGGGGCCCGUCUUGGGUUACUGAAUUCAGAUAAACUCCGAAUGCCAUUGAUUCAUGUCCGGGAGUCAGACGAUGAGUGAUAAGAUCCACCGUCGAAAGGGGAACAGCCCAGACCAUCAGUUAAGGUCCCUAAAUGUAUGCUAAGUGGAAAAGGAUGUGGAGUUGCAUAGACAACUAGGAUGUUGGCUCAGAAGCAGCCACCAUUUAAAGAGUGCGUAAUAGCUCACUAGUCGAGUGAUCCUGCGCCGAAAAUGUACCGGGGCUAAGCAUACUACCGAAACCAUGGAUGCGACCAUUAGGUCGCGUGAUAGGAGAGCGUUCUAAGGGCGGUGAAGCAAGAUCGUGAGGACUUGUGGAGCGCUUAGAAGUGAGAAUGCCGGUAUGAGUAGCGAAAGAUAGGUGAGAAUCCUAUCCACCGAAUGACUAAGGUUUCCUGGGGAAGGCUCGUCCUCCCAGGGUUAGUCGGGACCUAAGUCGAGGCCGAGAGGCGUAGACGAUGGAUAACAGGUUGAGAUUCCUGUACUAGUUAAGUGCGUUUGAGCAAUGGAGGGACGCAGGAGGCUAAGAUGUGCAUUCUGUUGGAUUAGAAUGUCCAAGCAGUAAGUCUUGUGAAGAGUCAAAUGCUUUUCACUUUAAGGACAAGCUGUGAUGGGGAGCGAAAUUUAGUAGCGAAGCGUCUGAUGUCACACUGCCGAGAAAAGCUUCUAGUGAGUACUUAACUACCCGUACCGCAAACCGACACAGGUAGUCGAGGAGAGAAUCCUAAGGUGAGCGAGUGAACUCUCGUUAAGGAACUCGGCAAAAUGACCCCGUAACUUCGGGAGAAGGGGUGCUGAUCGCAAGAUCAGCCGCAGUGAAUAGGCCCAGGCGACUGUUUAUCAAAAACACAGGUCUCUGCAAAAUCGUAAGAUGACGUAUAGGGGCUGACGCCUGCCCGGUGCUGGAAGGUUAAAAGGAUGGGUUAGCUUCGGCGAAGCUCAGAAUUGAAGCCCCAGUAAACGGCGGCCGUAACUAUAACGGUCCUAAGGUAGCGAAAUUCCUUGUCGGGUAAGUUCCGACCCGCACGAAAGGCGUAACGAUCUGGGCACUGUCUCAACGAGAGACUCGGUGAAAUUAUAUUGUCCGUGAAGAUGCGGACUACCCGCGACAGGACGGAAAGACCCCAUGGAGCUUUACUGUAGCUUGAUAUUGAGUGUUUGUACAGCUUGUACAGGAUAGGUAGGAGCCAUAGAAACCGGAACGCUAGUUUCGGUGGAGGCGUUGGUGGGAUACUACCCUCGCUGUAUGACCACUCUAACCCGCACCACUAAUCGUGGUGGGAGACAGUGUCAGGUGGGCAGUUUGACUGGGGCGGUCGCCUCCUAAAAAGUAACGGAGGCGCCCAAAGGUUCCCUCAGAAUGGUUGGAAAUCAUUCGCAGAGUGUAAAGGCACAAGGGAGCUUGACUGCGAGACAGACAGGUCGAGCAGGGACGAAAGUCGGGCUUAGUGAUCCGGUGGUACCGUAUGGAAGGGCCAUCGCUCAACGGAUAAAAGCUACCCUGGGGAUAACAGGCUUAUCUCCCCCAAGAGUCCACAUCGACGGGGAGGUUUGGCACCUCGAUGUCGGCUCAUCGCAUCCUGGGGCUGUAGUCGGUCCCAAGGGUUGGGCUGUUCGCCCAUUAAAGCGGUACGCGAGCUGGGUUCAGAACGUCGUGAGACAGUUCGGUCCCUAUCCGUCGCGGGCGUAGGAAAUUUGAGAGGACCUUUCCUUAGUACGAGAGGACCGGGAUGGACAUACCUCUGGUGUACCAGUUGUGCCGCCAGGCGCAUCGCUGGGUAGCUACGUAUGGAUGUGAUAAACGCUGAAAGCAUCUAAGUGUGAAACACACCUCGAGAUGAGAUUUCCCAUUCCUUUAUGGAAGUAAGACCCCUGAAAGAUGAUCAGGUAGAUAGGUUAGAAGUGGCAGUGCGGUGACGCAUGAAGCGGACUAAUACUAAUCGGUCGAGGACUUAACCAAG
rnacentral:rRNA from 1 species